rnacentral:lncRNA from 1 species
UAAUUUGCAUAGAAACUGAGGUGAUCACGACUGAGCACUACAACUGCUGACGCAUACACUCAUGGGUGCUGGGCGGUUGCAGUUUUACCGUUCACACAUGCACUCUGUGUGCUACAUUGUUGUAGCAACAUUUUAAACCAAGCCAGUUCAAACUCAAGAAGACGGCAGCAUCUCUUCUUUGCACCGCGUUGACUGCUAGCCUGUCACUAAUUUUGUUUCUUCCAGCCUGUGCGACGUCUUGCUACGGGCGGCCAUCGGCGAGGUCUGCUGUUGAAGGACAGUUGAAUGCCAGAAUGGGACGUUUACGAGGCAGAAGGAAGCUAAACAAGUGGGUGAGGGACCUUACCUGAUACGAACCUUGUACCUUAAGAAAGCAGCUUUAGCCCUGCAAGCAGAUAUUAUAAUGUCCCAGAAGGCAGUAAGCGCCGAAAGGGCAGUUCUCAGGGAGGAUACCAGCGUGGGAAAUGGCGAAACUUGCAGAAGGUUUAUGCAUCGUUUGCCGCAGCAGUGGUCGUGUAACAGAUGAUGUCGGUCUGAGUGGCAGCUUGUAAAUCUUUGACCUGACCAACAUUUUACCGGCGUGGGCGGAGUCAGGAACACGAGAAGAAAAGGUCAGAGGACAAGCAAAGAAAAACUAGUUUACCAACGAGUACCCGACUAUGAGGUUGAACAGUCAACGGGGCUGCCGUGUAAUCCAAGCCACCCUGCGGUAUUGUCUGCAGACAGAUUCAGGAUGGUGGUGGGAGACUAAUUAGCAGUUACUGAUACAUGUGUGCUGGCAAUUCUAUUGGAUUGGUUAAGGAUCGGGGAGAUUAUUGCCAGCGAAGUAAUAUAAAACUGCUGUCACAGUAGUAAUACUUGGGUACAUGUGGCUGCCUGUAUUCAAGUCUGACAGUGUAUGUGUAUGUGUGUGUGUACCUCCCUUUGAGGGGAAAAAAAUCCUGCAAAGUGUUUUGUAAGCUGAGCAGACAGCCUUGAGGACGGACACCUUGGCGUCUCCAUCUCUGUCGCCAUGCCAGACACGAGCUGCUGCAAGUCACCACCGACCUGUGUCAACAUAUUCAGCCCCGACAUCCAACAGUGAGUCAGACGCAGAAGCCAUAACAGCGAGCACGUGACCAAAGGCUCGUACACUCAGCGCAAAUAAAGAUAUUUUAACUCUCGUUCAACUCAACGACGAUGGUACGAGUGCGGAAAUCUUGGAAUAAUAACAAGUGAACAAACUGU